UUUUUUCUUCUUCUUCUGAGUU
rnacentral:sRNA from 1 species